CUCGCCCCUCUCUCUUCAAUCCUGUAUGGAUCGGGGAACCAGGGCAACGACCCCGCGCCCCGUCGCCGAACUCCAUCGCCUCCGCCGCCCGGAGCCACCUCGCUGGACCUUGCCGCCCUGUUGUCGCCUCCUCGACCCUCCUCCCCGAACGGACUCUUCAUGCCUCAUCGACCUCUUGCCUCACGACGCCCAUUUACAAAAAGAGAGAGAAUAGUGGCAGCUGGAAUUCUAGACCU